rnacentral:rRNA from 1 species
CACGGGGGGAACGCGAAGAACCUUACCAAGGCUUGACAUAUACCGGACCGCUCUAGAAAUAGAGUUUCCCUUCGGGGCUGGUAUACAGGUGGUGCAUGGUUGUCGUCAGCUCGUGUCGUGAGAUGUUGGGUUAAGUCCCGCAACGAGCGCAACCCUCGUUCUAUGUUGCCAGCACGUAAUGGUGGGGACUCAUAGGAGACUGCCGGGGUCAACUCGGAGGAAGGUGGGGAUGACGUCAAAUCAUCAUGCCCCUUAUGUCUUGGGCUUCACGCAUGCUACAAUGGCCGGUACAAAGGGUCGCGAUACUGUGAGGUUGAGCUAAUCCCAAAAAGCCGGUCUCAGUUCGGAUUGGGGUCUGCAACUCGACCCCAUGAAGUCGGAGUCGCUAGUAAUCGCAGAUCAGCAACGCUGCGGUGAAUACGUUCCCGGGUCUUGUACACACCG